UGCAGUCGAACGAUGAACCACUUCGGUGGGGAUUAGUGGCGAACGGGUGAGUAACACGUGGGCAAUCUGCCCUGCACUCUGGGACAAGCCCUGGAAACGGGGUCUAAUACCGGAUAUGAGUCUCCAAGGCAUCUUGGAGGCUGUAAAGCUCCGGCGGUGCAGGAUGAGCCCGCGGCCUAUCAGCUUGUUGGUGAGGUAACGGCUCACCAAGGCGACGACGGGUAGCCGGCCUGAGAGGGCGACCGGCCACACUGGGACUGAGACACGGCCCAGACUCCUACGGGAGGCAGCAGUGGGGAAUAUUGCACAAUGGGCGAAAGCCUGAUGCAGCGACGCCGCGUGAGGGAUGACGGCCUUCGGGUUGUAAACCUCUUUCAGCAGGGAAGAAGCGAAAGUGACGGUACCUGCAGAAGAAGCGCCGGCUAACUACGUGCCAGCAGCCGCGGUAAUACGUAGGGCGCAAGCGUUGUCCGGAAUUAUUGGGCGUAAAGAGCUCGUAGGCGGCUUGUCACGUCGGUUGUGAAAGCCCGGGGCUUAACCCCGGGUCUGCAGUCGAUACGGGCAGGCUAGAGUUCGGUAGGGGAGAUCGGAAUUCCUGGUGUAGCGGUGAAAUGCGCAGAUAUCAGG
rnacentral:rRNA from 1 species